ensembl:lncRNA
GGCAGGACCAGGUGGAGGUAGUUGAAUCAUGGGGCCGGUUUUCCCUAUGCUAUUCUCGUGAGAGACAGUGAGUCUCACAAGAUCUGGUGGUUUUAUAAGCAUCCAGCCCUGCUUGCACUUACUCUAUCCUGCUGUCCUACGAGGAAGGUGCCUGCUUCUCCUUUGCCUCUGUCAUGAUUGUGAACUUCCUGAGGCCUCCCCAGCCAUGCAGAACAAAUCCAUCCCCGAGGUCAGUGUGAAGUUCUUUGCCAGCCUGGGGACCUCUUUCCAUCUCACUGAGGAAUGAGGAACAGAAUCUGGUCUUCGGUACUGCACAAAUUCUCCACAUAUCAAGGAGACAUCUACCAUUGAAGGAGAUUUUGAUAUGUAAACUGAAGGUUAACAUGAAAUACAAGGUACAUUAUUAAUUCUU